rnacentral:rRNA from 1 species
AUGUCUCUCUGAAAAAGUAGUAUGGGGAGUCUGGCCUGCCCGGUGACAUAGUUAAACGGCUGCAGUAUCCUGACUGUGCAAAGGUAGCAUAAUAACCUGCCUUUUAAUUGGAGGAUAGAAUCAAUGGCUUGACGAGAGCAAAGCUGUCUUUUUUGUUUUUAUUAGAAUUUAUUUUUUAAGUUAAAAAGCUUAGAUAUAAUUAAAAGACGAUAAGACCCUAUUGAGCUUUAAAGAAAUAAAAUGAUUAUUAAUUAUUAAUAAGAUUGAUAAUAAUUUUAAAAAAUUUUGGUUGGGGCGACCGCGGAGUACAAAAAACCUCCGAACUAGAAAAUUAAUUUCUAUUUUUGAUCCAUGAUUUGUGAUGAGUGGAAUUAGUUACCAUAGGGAUAACAGCGCACUACUUUUAGGGAGAUCAUAUUUCUAAAAGAGAUCGCGACCUCGAUGUUGGAUUAAGGUAUACUAAAGGGCGCAGAAGCUUUUUAAGUUAGUCUGUUCGACUAUUAAAUCCUU